CCGAAGUGUCGGGAGAAAAUCCUUUUGUGCCGGUCCCGAGGCUUCGGGAGGCACAAAAGAUUGAAACGUCCCGAGACUUCGG
rnacentral:sRNA from 1 species